rnacentral:rRNA from 1 species
CGGCAGCCCGAGUGGUGAUCACUAUUAUUGGGUCUAAAGGGUCCGUAGCCGGUUUGAUCAGUCUUUUGGGAAAUCUGACAGCUUAACUUUUAGGCUUCCAAAGGAUACUGUCAGACUUGGGACCGGGAGAGGUAAGAGGUACUACAGGGGUAGGAGUGAAAUCUUGUAAUACCUGUGGGACAACCAGUGGCGAAGGCGUCUUACCAGAACGGGUCCGACGGUGAGGGACGAAAGCUGGGGGCACGAACCGGAUUAGAUACCCGAGUAGUCC